GGACUUACGUUCCGAAAAAUACACAUAGAGAGAAUCAAUAAAAAUUUAGAGAUUCAGCAAAAGAAUUUAUUCUCGCAUACAUAUACACAGCAAGCAUCUCAAUCGAUUGAAUAAACAAAGGUGAAUUUUUUUAAAUAUAUGUACGUAUAUAUACUGCAAAUAAUGAAAGGAGAAAGCAAUACCUUUAAUCGGCAUUGAAAGGUGAGGUUUUUAAACCUCCAACCACCGUAUGCGGUGGAGAUGACGAGGGCGCGUGAGCGCAUACAGACCCCUAGAUGGAGGUCCGAUGACCUUCCGAAUACCCCUCCCAAACUCUCUUUCAGAGAGUUUUUUUUCUUUUUUUUCCAGAACCGAUUCAAAAUGAUUUAAAACCAAUAGUUUGGCUUAUAUAGCCACAACAGAACGACGCCGUUUUAGCUUAAUCCAAUAAGCUUAAAACGACGUCGUAUUAAGGCUAAGGAUCCGCGCGUUGACCCGAUUACCCGGGGAGGAUCCGUGUGAUUUUGAGAAUUGGGUUAAUUACCCAAUCAGUCCUUUCACCUUUUUGUGUGUUUAUAAUCAUGCUUUAUUUUAUUUAUGAUUUGGUCCUAACAGUUUGUAUCUGUUUCAAUUUAGUCCUAAAUGGCCUUUUAAGGCUUAACUAGGGAAACAGUGCCGUUUUGGGGAUUAGGGCAAAUUGUCCGGUGAGUCCAUUAAUCCAAACGUGUUUUCCAAGUGGCCCUCGAUUUCUAUUCUUUUAAAAAAUAACCCUAUAAAUUUUAAUUCGUUUUAAUUUCACCCCUUUUUUUAUAUACUUUUAAACUUAUUUUUAAUUUAUUAUAUAUUAUUUAUUAUAUUAUUAUAUUUUCAAAAUUUGUAAAUUAUUAUUAUAUAUUAUAUUUUAACUUAUAUAUCUUAUAUAUUUAUUUAUUUAUAUUAUACAUUAUUUUAAAAACUUACAUUUUUAUAUUAUAUAUUAUAAAUUAUUUCAUUUAUUAUUAUUUUUAUAUACUAUUAUAUAUUAUCUAUUUUAAAAUUCACUAUUAAAUAUUAUAUUUUAUGUAUUAUUAAAUUUUUAUAUUAUUUGAUAUAAUACAAUACCAUAAUUUUUUAUUAUUUUAUCUUAAAAUUAAAAGUUUAUCUAUAACAUAUUAUUAUCACCCAUAUCUAAAUUGUAUUUUAAUUAUAUACACAUAUAUCCAAAUUACUCACUUUCUUUUAUUAAACCUUUUAUUUUUUUUAAAAUAUUAUAAAUUGUCCAUGUAUUAAAUGCUACUUUCAUGAUUUUAUAAAGUGUUGAUUGCUUAAUAACAUAUGUUACUAUAUUAUUAUUAUUAUUUUUAUAUAUUAUUGUAUUUGUUUGUCUUGUUUUGUUUUUAUACAAUUAUACAUCAUGCAUCAUUUUUUUUCGUUUAUUAAUAUAUAUAUGUUGAAUUACACAUUUACAUGUUUUAUCUAUUCUUCUUUGAUAUAUGUUGUUUUCUUGUAUGUAUAUUUUACUUAUUUAAAAUUUGCCAUAUUUUUAUAUUUCUAUUAUAUAUAUUAAUUAAUGUAUGACAUUUAUGUUAUUGUUAUUAUGCUUUUAUUUACCUAUUACUAUAAUAUGCUAUCUUGUAUGUUAUGUUUUAUUAUGUUAAUGCGCUCCUUCAUGCAUCGGUUUUAAAAAAGAGACUUCAAAGUUUUCAAAAAAUAAAAAGGCAAUGCUUGGUGUUUGGAAGCUUCGAAAAAGUAGUGCCCUAACUUAUUGGGUUGCAACUUUUCUCGUUGAGUUCGAAUAGUCAAAUAUCCUUCUAAAUUUUUUAAGGUUUUCAAAAUACGAGCAACUGUCUUGGAAUUUUAAAGCGUUGUGUCCUAACUUAUUGGAUGUGGUGUUUUGUCGUUUCGAGAUAGGGAUUUCAAAAAAAGGGGGCUAACUUAGUGUCAAUAUUUUGAUACAAGCGAAUCUCAAUUUUCAAAAUCAAAAUAUUUUAAAGAGGAUUGCAUCUUAAUUUUGUUUUUUUGACAUUAAAGACACUUGAUAAUCAAUUAGGUACCAAUUUUUGGGCGUUACGAGGGUGCUAACCCUUCCUCGUACAUAACCGACUCCCGAAUCCGUUUUCUCGACUUCCGUAGACCAAAAUUAAUAUUUUAAAACAAAACAUUUUAUAAGGUGAUCCAAUCACACCUAAAAAGAUUGGUGGCGACUCCCGUUUUCGUUUUUCUUAAAGUCGAUUCCCAUUUUCAAAACUCAAUUUAAAAAUGGUUUUGACAGCUUAGCGACUCCACUGGGGUCUAAUAAGAGAGUCAAGCCGUGUAAUUGAUUAUCUCUUGUCCUAAUGUCAGAAAUUAAAAAUUUUAAAAUUUAAUCCUCUUUGCAUUACAUGUGUUUGUAUUAUUGCAUGUGUUGCUAUAUUCUGAUAUGCAUUGUAUUUGCAUGACCGUUGUGGUCACACCCUUAAGUAGGAGUGAGAAGCUACGCCUUCGUGAGGUUUUCGCCUCCGUGCAGGAUAGUGGAUCACUUUCGGGAUACAUCCGUACCUAUGGUUUCGUGAGAUUUUCAUCUUCGUGUAACCAUAGGGAAAUGUAUUUCCCUGAACUGAACUCGAUUCAAAUGAGCCUAUAAUGGGUGAGGAUCGAGGAAUCUGCUGGUUCGGGUACCUCAAAUUUUAGAAACAAACCACAUAUAGAAAAACCGUAAGAGCUCAAUAUAGAUAGAAUUAUACUUAGGUUAUCUUUGUGUUUAUUAAUAUCAUAUUAUACUAAUUGUUUUCUUUCUUUUGUGCAUGUCAUUUUGCAUUUAAAAGGUAUCGAUUCACGGUUAGUUUCUAAGUUAGGAAGUUUUAUUAUGGAGAACGGACUUCUUGAUAGAAUGGAGGGCAACGUCAAUGUCCAUAGAUGGUCUGAGCAAACUCAACUAGAAAAGGGAAAUAGUAUAGCUGAGGGAUACGUGUCGGAGCUGCCAGAUUACACUCGUAUUAGUGUCACGUAGAAUAAUCUCUAAGAGCUUAAGGAAAUUUGGGAUCAGUGGGACAGAAAGACCAAGCAGUUAUUUUACGAUAAUUACGGGGACUUACCUUACUUGCUCGAUGUUUAGGUAGACGAGCACUUAUUCCAGGCCCUUGCUCAGUUUUGGAACCCAGCGUACAGUUGUUUCACUUUUGGGGAAGUAGACUUGGUACCUACUGUGGAGGAGUACACUGCCUUGCUUCGUUGUCCCAGAUUUCAGAACGAUAGGAUCUAUUCUCGGGCUGCCUGUGUCCCUACCUUUUGGAAAAAAUUGAUGAUUAUUACGGGGAUGAGCGAGCAGUGGACCACGGCCCGAAUUAAAGAAAAGGGUGAGUGCAAGUGCAUUUCGUGGGACGCUUUGAAAAAGUUGAUUUUGACACACCCCGAUAAGACGAAGAAGGUAGAUGUUUUUGCCUUAAGUCUGUAUGGUCUGAUGGUUUCCCUAGGGCUUUGGGAUAUGUGGAUGAAGCAACCACGGAUCUUUUUCAUCGACUCAGUAAAAAGGUCACUUCUGUCCCUGCAAUGUUGGCGGAAACAUUCAGGUCUUUAGAUGCAUGUAGGAGAGCUAGUGCUGGCAGGUUUAUAGGGUGUGCUCAGUUACUUUUGGCUUGGUUCUACAGUCAUUUCCUGUUGAUAGAUAGGGUGAUUUUUCGGGUCUUCUUCGAGGAUUAUUCACCGUUGAAAGACAUAGCAGCUUCAACUAAGAGAGUUGAUAUUCUAGAAGAGAAUUGGAUAGCACUACUUUAGAACCUUCAGUUGAAAGAUAUCGAGCGGAGGGCUCCGUGGAUGAUUCCUGGGGAGGUUCUUUACCGAUGCAGCAGUUUUGAUUGGGUCCCCCUGUUGGGAAUUUGGGGUGCCAUUGGUUAUGCCCCUUUGCUCGUGCUGAGGCAGCAUGGAUUGCGGCAGUUCGUACCAGCAACUCAGGGAUUAGCUCAAAGUGAGUUUGUAUACAGAGGAGCCGAUUACAAGAGGAAGGUUAGUGAAGUUUCUAGUGCUUGGAAAGAGACUUUUCGGUUGAAAGGAGUAGCUAUUAGCCCUGCAAGCACACCAGAAUACGUUGAAUAGAGAGACAAAAGGGUUAAUGAUAACAUCCCUAAGCCAAGCGUGGAAGGAACUCAACUGAUAGAGGAAUAUUUGCAAGUAAGGCCCUCAGAGUUAGAAAUUAUGAAGCAUGAGUUCGAGAGAAAGAGCUUGUAGUUCGAGAAGAGGGUAACAAAGCUCGAGGAAAAAAAGAUGUACUUGAGCUUGGACGUCAACAUUUAAAAGAUGGAGGUCGAGAAAGAGAAGAAAGAAAAAAAGAAGAUUAAGGAAGAUCGAGAUGAUCUAAAGGAGCAUUACAAAAGGGCACAAGUAUUCUUGGGGAGAGCGAGAGUAGGGGGAUCUUCAGAUCAGUUGUAGAAAGAGGUCCAAGAGGAAAAAGCUAGAGCCGAGUAUUGGGAGAGGAAGUUCCAAAAGGUGCAGGUGCAAAAUUUGGCAUUAGAGGAAGAGAAUAAAGGGUUAAAGACUAAGGUAGCUGAGCUUGGAAGAUCCCUACAUUGGCACCAAAACCAUAAUUCUACGGUCGAGUUAAAGGAGCUAAAAAGCAAGGUUGAGGAUUUGGAAGUGGCAUUGCAUGACGGUGAACUCCGGGUUGAGCAGCUCAAGGCGUAAGAAGAUUAUCUGAAGGGAGAGCUUCAUCAGGCUAGAGGACAGGUCAGAGAAAGGGAUCAUGUCAUUGGUGAGGCUAUAGCCCAGAUUCGAGAGGUUGCUGAAUAUGUGCAAGACUUGGCAAUUCAAGCUGAUGUAUUGAGUCUGAUGUAUUCAUCGUCGUCGGAUAUAGGACGAGAGUUAGCCCUUUUAUUAGAUAGAGUUAAAACUUUGGGCCUUAGGGCGAAAGCGUAUUUGUAAUCCUCUUAUAUGUAAAGAUAUUCUUUUUCUAAAUAAAAUUUUCUAAAUGAAGUUGAACCAGAAUCGAUAUCCUUUUUGUAUUCAUGCAUUUGCAUCUCAUAGCAUUUCAUCACAUCAUUUGCAUUCAAAGUUAUAGAAAGACCCUAAUUAGUUAAAGUUUACUUCCAAAGCUAGAAAGGAAAAUCUAGAAAUCACACAUCGGCACUCGCACUAAAACUAAGAGUAUGGAUCAAAGGUUCGAGCAAUUACAAAAAGAUAUGCAAGACCAAAUGCAAGAACAGUUAGCCAAAAUGCAGAAUGAAAUGAGGGAGUAAAUGCUAGAGGCUCAGAGGAACAUGAUGGCUGAAAUGGCUCAGCUGUUGAGAGCCACUGAUAAAGGAAAAGCUCCCAUGGCGAUCACUGAAGAGGAGAAUAAAGGUCUUCCUCCAGACUUUAGUCCGCCUCACGUGCCACUGCAGACCGAGGCACCUCCUAGAAGGCCAUCUGUCACCGUGAGGCCUCAACAUGGGCCAGUUGAUGCUGGAAUCCCCAUAAACUUCCCAUCUGGGUUGGGAAAUAAUUUGGGUGAUAGCUCGAUCAACCCUAUCACUCCUGAUCUGGAUUUGAUGGAGAAGGAAAGAAUGGCAACCGAAUCUGCAAAACAAUUGGAGAAUCACUGCAAGUGGUUAGAGGAGAAGUUUAGGGUUUUGGAAGGCACUGGUAGUCAUCAUGGGAUUGAUGCCAAAAACUUAAGUUUGGUCCCAGAUUUAGUGCUUCCUCAUAAAUUUAAGAUGCCAGAGUUUGAAAAGUACAACGGGAUUACUUGUUCAGAGGCACACAUAACAAUGUUUUGUAGGAGAAUGACUGGAUAUGUGAACAAUGAUCAAUUAUUGAUCCAUUAUUUUCAAGACAACUUAGUAGGAGCAGCGGUUAGAUGGUACAAUCAGUUGAGCCGUACAAGAAUCAGUUCAUGGAGAGAUCUGGAACAGGCCUUCAUGCAACAGUACAACCAUGUGACUGAUAUGACGCCAGAUAGGAUUACACUUCAAAACAUGGAGAAAAAGCCUAAUGAAAGUUUUAGGCAAUAUGCACAACGAUGGAGGCAGGUGGCAAUGCAAGUACAACCACCAUUGUUGGAAAGUGAGACCACCAUGUUAUUUAUCAACACUUUGAAGGCUCCAUUCAUCACUCACAUGAUUGGAAGUACCACGAAAAGUUUCGCGGAUAUAGUUCUGGCAGGUGAGAUGAUUGAGAAUGCCGUGAGAGGCGGUAAAAUCGAGGGGGAAGUGGCUAAAAAAUCGGCCCCAAGGAAAAAGGACAAUGAGGUGAAUAAUAUGAAUAGCCUCAACUCAAGGGCAGUCACAAUUGGUCAACCCAAAACAGAGCAACAAAGUACUCAAAGACAGGAAUCGGGUACAAGACAAAAUUCAGAGAGGAUACAAUUCACGCCUAUCCCUGUGACGUAUUGUGAACUUUAUCAAAGCUUAUACGAUGCACAUGCCAUUGCUCCAUUUCACUUGAAACUGCUGCAACCACCGUACCCCAAAUGGAAUGAUGUAAAUGCUAAAUGCGAAUAUCACGUGGGAAUACCGGGGCAUUCGAUUGAAAACUGCACCGGAUUCAAGAAGGUCGUGAAGAAGCUUAUCAAGAUGGGGGUUAUGAAAUUCGACAGUACCCCUAGUACUGAAAAUCCAUUACCAGAUCAUGGCAAUCAAGAAGUGAAUGCCAUCGGUGAAAUAAGGGAAGGAAAAAUCAAGGAAGAUAUUGCUGAGGUGAAGACACCCAUGAAAGUAAUAUGGGAGAUGGUGAAGAGAGGUAUGUUGACCUCUGGAGAAGGUAGAAGAGGAAUAGGGAAUUAUUGCGAAUUCUAUAGAGAGAUAGGUCAUAUGAUCCAAAAUUGUGAGAGUUCAAGGCCAUAGUGCAAGGCCUUAUGGUUAACAAAGAGCUACAGAUUUUUGAGGGUAGUUUUUACAAAAAACAAAUAUGUAUAUUGGGAAAUGAACGACAAGAAACCUACUGGCCAAGAAUUAUUAUUUCCCUACCAGGGAAUAAUGAAGUGAAGGCGCAAACCGGGCCCAGAGUUGUCAUCCAUAAACCCAAUCCUUUCUCUUACAAUGAUGACAAGAGGGUGCCAUGGAGUUAUGAUUGCAGUGUAACAGUACUUGAGGGGGAGAGUAUAGCCAGUGCAUCUAGGGGUGUGCAAAAUAAAGGUUCCCAUACGCGGAGUGGGAAACGUUAUGAUACGAGGGGAGUCAGAGUGGAGCCCACAAAGGCAAAAAGUGUCGAGGUUGAGAAAGAGAAAGAGAUUGGAAUACCCAUCAAUGAGCCAGUAAAUGAGUAGAAGGCUAAGGAGUUCUUAAAGUUCCUUAAGCAUAGCGAGUAUAGUGUGGUCGAGCAGUUGCGUAAGCAGCCAGUGUGUAUAUCAGAAUUAGCCCUGUUUCUGAGUUCUGAGGUGCAUCGGGAUGCAUUAUUGAAUGUGCUUAACGAAACAUAUGUCACCCACGACAUAUCCAUUAACAAAUUGGAUCGGUUGGUAAAUAACAUCAGUGCUGACAAUUUCAUCUAUUUCAAUGAUGAUAAAAUUCCACUUGAGGGUAUAGGGUCAACCAAAGCCUUGCACAUCACUACUCGGUGCAAAGGAUACACGCUGCCAAGUGCACUCGUUGAUAAUGGGUCUGCUUUGAACGUCCUGCCAUUAUCCACCUUGAACAGAUUACCCAUUGAUAGUUCGCAUAUGAAAACAUGUCAUAAUGUGGUAAGAGCCUUUGAUAGAAUUGAAAAAAAAAGUGAUGGGACAAGAAAGAGACUGAAAUACCCAUCAAUGAGCCAGUAAAUUAGGAGGAGGCUAAGGAGUUCUUAAAGUUCCUUAAGCAUAGCGAGUAUAGUGUGGUCGAGCAGUUGCGUAAGCAGCCAGCGCGUAUAUCAGUAUUAGCCUUGCUUCUGAGUUCUGAGGUGCAUCGGGAUGCAUUAUUACAGGUGCUUAACGAAACAUAUGUCACCCACGACAUAUCCAUUAACAAAUUGGAUCGGUUGGUAAAUAACAUCAGUGCUAACAAUUUCAUCUAUUUCAAUGAUGAUGAAAUUCCAUCUGGGGGUAUAGGGUCAACCAAAGCCUUGCACAUCACUACUCGGUGCAAAGGAUAUACGCUGCCAAGUGCACUCAUUGAUAAUGGGUCUGCUUUGAACGUCCUGCCAUUAUCCACCUUGAACAGAUUACCCAUUGACAGUUCGCAUAUGAAAACAUGUCAUAAUGUGGUAAGAGCCUUUGAUGGAAUUGAAAGAAAAGUGAUGGGACGAAUCGACAUCCCUUUGGAAAUUGGGCCAAAUACCUAUGAAGUUGAUUUCUUGGUGAUGGAUAUCAAGCCCUCCUAUAAUUGUUUAUUGGGGAGGCCAUUGAUACACUCAGCAGGAGCGGUGCCUUUCUCAUUGCACCAAAAAUUGAAGUUAGUGACAGAUGGACGGUUAAUAACCAUCAACGCGGAAGAGGACAUUAUAGCAGCAGUCACUAGCAAGGCCCCUUAUGUCGAGGCAAAUAAGGAGGCUAUUGAGUGUUCUUUUCACUAUUUAGAAAUCAUCAAUGUAACCUUCAUUUUUGAAGAAAGUGAGGUGCCGGUACCCAAAAUGUCUAGAGCCACAAGGAUGGCCCUGAAAAUGAUGAUGGGGAAAGGGGCAUUGCCAGGAAAAGGACUAGGAAGACAGUUGCAAGGAGGGAUUCAAAUCUCAAAACUGAUUGAGAAGAAAGAUCGCUUUGGUUUGGGCUUCAGGCUAGACCAUAAGCACAAGAGGCAAGAGAUUGAGAAACGUCAAGCGAGAAGAAAGGCGCGUCUGAACGGAGGAGAAGUGAAGUGGGAGCCGAUGACAUUCCCACCUAUAUCCAAAUCCUUUAAGUUAGGCGGAUUACUAGUAGAAGAAAGUCAUCAAAUUAAUGCUAUACACGAUGAGGGAUUGGAGCAAGGAAACCUCGAGGGCAUUCGCCCUUACGAACUGGGGAGCUCUCUGAACAAUUGGACUGCGGAAGACCUUCCUGUAGUAUUUAAGAACUUUUCAAAGUAAUUCUUGAAACAUGUCUGUUACUCUAGGGCCUAGGAGUAGUAAGAUUACAUUUGUGAAAUAGGCUAUGUUCAUCUACUAUUAUUUAAAUAAAACAUAACUUUUAUCAAUUUAAACGAGUAUUGUUUCAUUUUUAUUAACCAAUAUUCCUUUAAAUUUUGGCAAUUCUUAUUCUUUUAUUCAUAGCACAUAAACAAUCAUUCUUAGAUUUAUUCAUUCUUUGUAUAUUCUUUCAUACCCCCAUAGGUCCCUAGAUAUCAAUGAUAUGAGUACCGAUACUGCAACUCCUGAUUUCUCUUGCGAACAAGACUUGUGUUUAGAGGAACCUCAGGAUUUUGAAGAUGUUCAAGAUUAUGAUGUAUCUCUUGAUCUGUUAAGAAUGGUAAAGUAGGAGGAGAAACAAAUCAUGCCACAUGAGAAAGAGGUAAUAGAGAAUGUAGCCCUAGAAGAAGGGAAUGAGUUGAAAAUUGGAACACUGAUUACCGAGGAUACAAGGCGUGAUCUUGUUGAGUUGCUUCGAGAGUUCAAGGAUAUCUUCGUCUGGUCAUAUCAGGAUAUGCCCGGAUUGAGUACCGAUAUUGUAGUACAUCGUCUUCUGAUAAGACAGGAUUGUAAGCCAGUCCAACAGAAGUUGCGAAGAAUGAGGCCAGAUAUUAUUCUGAAAAUAAAGGAUGAAGUCAAGAAGCAGUUCGAUGCAGGAUUCUUGCAAGAAGUGAAAUACUCCGAAUGGGUAGCUAACAUUGUACCAGUUCCUAAGAAAGACGGGAAUGUACGAAUGUGUGUUGAUUACAGAGAUUUAAACAAAGCUAGCCCCAAAGAUAAUUUCCCUCUGCCACACAUAGACAUUUUGGUGGACAACACAGCGGGAUAUUUGUUGUUUUCCUUCAUGGAUGGUUUCUCAGGAUACAAUCAGAUAAAGAUGCAUCCAGAGGACAUGGAUAAAACCACCUUCAUAACCUUAUGGGGCACCUUUUGCUACAAAGUAAUGCCGUUGAGACUAAAGAAUGCAGGGGCAACAUAUCAACGGGCAAUGGUAAACUUAUUCCAUGACAUGAUGCAUAAGGAUAUUGAGGUAUACAUUGAUGAUAUGAUUGCCAAAUCGCAUACAGAAAAAGAGCACAUUGAGGUCUUGAGAAGAUUGUUCUUGAGAUUGAGAAAAUUUUAGUUGAAGCUCAAUCCAGUAAAGUGUACCUCUGGAGCCAGAUCGGGAAAGUUAUUAGGCUUCGUGGUCAGUGAAAAGGGAAUUGAAGUCGACUCAGAUAAGGUCAGAGCCAUACCAGAGCUACCUCCACCACGCACUCAGAAGGAAGUUCGAGGAUUCCUAGGAAGGUUGAAUUACAUCGCUCGGUUCAUUUCACAACUGACCGAGAAAUGUGAUCCUAUCUUUCGUCUCCUCAGAAAGCACAAUCAAGGUACUUGGGAUGAGGAGUGCCAGAAUACUUUUGAAAAGGUCAAGCAGUAUUUGUUGAAUGCUCCGGUAUUAUCUCCACCAAGCCCAGAUAAACCGUUGAUACUGUCCUUGUCAGUGUUCAGUAAUUCCAUGAGAUGUGUGCGUGGCCAGCAUGACGAGUCAGGGAAAAAGGAGAAGGCAAUUUAUUAUCUCAGUAAGAAAUUCACUGACUGUGAGAUGAGAUAUCCACCGAUUGAAAAGUUGUGUUGUGCGCUGAUUUGGACAACUCGGAGAUUAAAACAGUACAUGCCAUACCAUACCACUUGGCUUAUCUCAAAGCUUGAUCCAUUGAAAUACAUGAUGGAGUCAACGGCUCUAAAUGGGAGAAUGGUGAGAUGGCAAAUUUUGCUUUCAGAGUUUGAUAUAGUCUACAUAAGUCAGAAGGCUAUAAAAAGAAGUGCGGUAGAGACUUCUUAGCCAGUAGGGCUCUAGAGGAUUAUGAGCCAUUGAACUUUGAUUUUCCAAAUGAGGAGUUAAUGUGCAUAGCAAUGACCGAGGAUUCUCCUUAGAAGUUAAAUUUUGAUGGGGCUUCUAAUGCAGUUGGAAAUGGAAUUGGGGCAGUCUUGGUAUCCCCGAAUGGCGAUCAUUACCCUUUCAUGUGCAAGUUGGACUGUGAUUGCACGAACAAUAUGGCUGAGUAUGAAGCAUGCAUCAUGGGACUUCAAGCAGCUAUAGAGCGAGGUAUAAAAACCCUAGAAGUAUAUGGAGAUUCUGUGUUGGUAGUUUAUCAGAUUAGAGGUGAAUGGGAGACAAGGGACCCUAAAUUGAUGAAUUAUCGAAAGGUAGUUUUGGGGUUACUUGAGGAGUUUGAUGACAUCACUUUCAAUUAUCUCCCACGAGACAAAAAUUAGAUGGCAGAUGCUUUAGCAACCUUGGCCUCAAUGAUCAGGGCAAAUAAAGAAGAAGAGAUAAAGCCAAUUCAAAUGAGUGUCUACGAGGCUCCAGCUCAUUGUUGUAACAUUGAGAAGGAAGAAAAUGACAGUAACCCCUGGUAUCAAGAUAUAUUAUGAUAUGUGAGAGAUCGUAAAUACCUUGAACAGGCCAGUGAAAAUGACAAAUGAACUUUGAGGAGGUUAGCUUGCGACUAUGUCUUAGAUGGAGAUAUCCUGUACAAGAGACGGAAAGACCAAGUACUUUUGAGAUGUGUCGAUGCUGUAGAGGCUAAGCUAAUUUUAGAAGAAGUUCAUAAAGGUGUAUGUGGGACGCAUGCAAAUGGGUUCACGAUGGCAAGGAAAAUCAUGAGGUUUGGCUAUUAUUGGGCCACUAUAGAAGGGGACUGUAUCAACUAUACUAAGAAAUGCCAUAAGUGUCAGAUUUAUGGGGACAAAAUUCAUGUUCCACCUUCACCUUUGUAUGUUAUGACUUCUCCAUGGCCCUUCUCCAUGUGGGGCAUGGAUUUUAUUGGACCAAUAUCGCCAAAAGCUUCGAAUGGACAUCGGUUUAUCUUCGUGGUAAUUGGCUAUUUUACAAAAUGGGUAGAGGCCGCUUCUUAUGCAAAUGUUACUAAGUCAGCUGUGAGUUGAUUCUUGAAGAAGGAGAUCAUUUGUCGGUAUGGAAUGCCUGAGAAGAUCAUAUCUGACAAUGCAUUGAACUUGAACAACAAAACAAUAGCAGAGGUUUGUGACCAGUUCAAAAUUAAGCAUCACAAUUCUUCUCCCUAUCGUCCAAAAAUGAAUGGGGCAAUGGAAGCCGCCAACAAGAACAUUAAGAAAAUAGUGGGGAAGAUGACUGAGACUUAUAGAGAUUGGCAUGAGAAAUUACCGUUUACACUCCUGGCCUAUCGAGCAUCUGUUAGAACCUCUACUGGGGCAACCCCAUUCUCGUUAGUUUACGGGAUGGAAGCAGUGUUACCUAUUGAAGUAGAAAUACCUUCUCUUCAAAUUUUGAUAGAGAUAAGGUUAGAUGAAGCUGAAUGGGUUCAAUCUCGAUAUGACCAGUUGAACUUGAUUGAGGAAAAGAGGCUAAGAGCCAUUGGACAUGGUCAGAUGUAUCAGAAGCGAAUGAUGCGAGCUUAUGAUAACAAAGUUCAACCAAGAGAAUUCCAGGAGGGAGAACUUAUACUGAAAAAGAUCUUUCCUAUUCAAAAGGACUUUAGGGGAAAAUGGAUGCCGAAUUGGGAGGGGCCAUAUGUCGUGAAAAAAGUUUUCUCCGGUGGUGCAUUAAUCUUAACGGAAAUGGAUGGGAAAAGUUUACCCAAUCCAGUAAACUCAGACUCGGUUAAAAAAUACUUUGUCUAAAGGAGAAGAGAAUCUAAGGUGAAAACCCGCAAACGGCGCCUUGAGAUUUCAAAAAAAAAAAACGGAGAGGCCAAGGUGAAAACCCGCAGAGGGCACCUUGUGACCAAAAGGGUUUUGAGUUAAAAACCCGAAUGGGCAGCUCAAAUUUUGAAGAGUACACAGUGAUCUUGCUAUAAGGAGCGAAGCACGUUGCAUACUGGGGCAUCAACAAAGUACUUUGAAUCUUUUAAACGCAUGUUGAACUCAAGAAAGACUUCAUGGAGCUGGUGUAUAGACACUCAAGUGGCGAUAUCUUGGGCACAUAACUUUUAUCCUGUUUGCUAUCUUUGUAUUCUAUUUCUUCUUAAAGAUGGGCUUUCAAAUUAAUUUCCUUUUGUAUCUUAUUGAUAAUUCAUUCUAAUCCAAUAAGGUUUAUUCAUCUUCUAUUAUUCCUUAAGUAUGUUGCAUUGAAAUAAUAAUAGAUGAACUAAAUAUGUUCACAAACGAGGUUUUGCGCAUUACUUUGGAAUUUCUAGAUAAUAUAAGAAACUAAAACAGGAUAAUUGUUUGGGAAAUUCAUGUAAAUAAGGGAUGAAGGAACUCGAGGAAUUUCUUUUCAGUCCAAAAGGAAAAUGGACAAGAAACCAACGAUUCAAUUUUUAGGAAAAUUAUUUUACAGACAUCCUCAGUGGAUCGUAGCAUUGGAGAAAGGGUGCAGACCUUCAGGCUGAGCAAGAAUAAUGCUUUGAAAAGAAAAAUGGGGAAAUGAGUGGUGACGUAUAGGAUAGGGGUUCUGUUCACGAAAUUUUGCAUCAUAACAUGUUUAAUUAGGAACACUCGACUCAUUUUGAUCAUAGCAUUCCUAAUUAUCAAGCAUAAUCAUUCUACAGGUUAUCAAAGAUGGCGCGCCUUAAUCCCCUAAGCAGUAGGGUAAUAGGCCAUAGCAUAGCAGAUCUGGCUGAAGCAGAUCUAAGAUGAUUUAGCAUCCUUGUGCUUACAAGGAGCAAAUUGAAGACAUAGCUUAUUUGGCUUUUACGUGUUUACAAUGAAGCAAAUCUAAGAUGAUUUGGCAUCUCUGUAUUGUCAGAGUGUAGCACGCCAAAACCGGCCCAGAAGUUAUGGCCGGAUCCGGCAUGCCACAUCAAAAAUGUUAAAAAAAAUAUUCCAUUCUAAGUCCAGAAAAUCUUACUUGAUGUUCAAAAGAUUAAUUCAUUAAGUAUUAAAGUGAAUGGAAGCUGUGCACCAGGUAGGAAACCGGAAAAGAGGUGGUGAGUCCAUCGGACUGCUUAAGCACCAAGCUCCCUUCGGAUCCAAUCCUAGACAUGCAUACCGCCAUUGCCAGACCUUAACGUCAUGGAUAUUUCUAGGAAACCGAUUAGAUUAAGUCAUUUUUAGGAAAAGUGAUUAAUUUUGGAAAAUACUUUCAUUGCAGAAGCUUUGCUUGUUGUCGUGUUAUUUUGAAAUCAACUGUUGUUUUUGAAAACGCGCCCUAAAGCUAUCCAAUUUCAACAGUUAAAAUAAGUAUUACCUAAUACAUAUUAAAACCAUCAAAAAUAAUUAAGCGGCCUUAUUACAUUUAAAAACCCAAAACUUCAAACGUAAAUAAAGGGAUGUCCAGUUCACCAGAAGAAAAUCAAACUUUCAAAACGGGUGGCCACUCCGAAUUCCCUCACAGCUCCAAGCCCACUAUGGUUGGGGAUUUCCUGCGUGGAUGAAAAUAAAAGGGGUGAGUUUGGGGAAACUCAGUGUGUAAGGAAAACCUAUUCAAAGCCCAAGUCAGCUCAAGCCUAUUGGGCCUAAGCCCAUUCAGGUAACAGUGGUACUGGGCCAGAGCCCUUUUCAGAUUACAAUAAACUGGGCCUUAGCCCCUUAUUCAUAUAACAGUAUAGCCCAUAGGCCCAUUUCAAAAUACAUGCAACAUCAGUAAAUAUAUGCAAGCCCAUUUGGGGAGACUACUCAACCCACCAACCACUACACUCCACCCGUACCAGCCAUACACUCCAUGUGGGGAUAGCUCAACCCACCCAGCCCAACACUCCACAGUUGUAGCCUUGCUGCUCAGUUAACAGUAAAUUGAGGCAAAGCCUCCAGUACGUGGACAAGCCACUUUCAGUACUUCCUCCGUCAAUAUCCCAAUCCCAUGCAUCAGAUAAUAACAACAUGCCAUGCAGUAAAUAACAACAGUCAAACAUGCAUUUAGGUCAAUUUAACCCUAGGGGUAUUUCGAUAAUUUAUCUCCUAGGGAUAAAAUUGUAAAUUUUCCACUUUUAAAGGUAUUUCAGUAAUUUAUCUAUUUUAGGGUUUUUCAUGCAUAUUCCUACUUUUCACGUACUAACAGAAUCACGUACCGAGAGUUCUUACCGAAUUGGGCCUGUUGGCCCAUCAUUUCAAUUUUGGCCCAUUAAGCCCAAAAAUAUCGAGGGCUCAGAAAUCAUGCACUUUGCAGUCCAAAUUUUACAGCUUACCAAAAACAUUAAUCGAUUUACCUCACGAGCAUUCACACACUCGCAAAUUUACAAAAUACCAGUUUUCGGCAUUUCAGCUUUUCGACUUUUGCCGAUCCAGACUAAGAAAGAGGGUGUUAGUUACAUACCUGUUUGCGACGAUAUGCUGACGAGAUCCACACACGAACUGCCUACAAUUGGAUUACUAACACAUUAAUCUAACUGUUCAAAUACGAACUACCCAUUAACCCCUUACAAUAUUCGGCCAACCACACCUACAAAUCAUAGUAAGCUUAUAAGAAAACAAUAAGCAACUCAUUAACAAAUUUUUGGCAAUGUUUACCACAUAAUCAUAAUUUCACUGCAAGCUGUCUUCCUGAGCAACAGUCACUAAAUUAUUUAUAACUGGAGCUACGAAACUCCAAAUCAAGUUCCGUUAAUUUUCCUUGAAAAUAGACUCAUAUAUAUUCUAUCCAUAAAAUUUUCAGAAUUUUUGGUUUAUCCAAUCAAUACCAGAUUUUUCUUAACGUUUCCCAUGUUUCACUGUUUGACUAAUCUGACCACUCUUCAUUACAAAUCAAAUUUCUCAUUGUACAGAAUUCAAAAUAUGUUCUAGUUUAUUUCAUUUGAAACUAAACUCAUUAAGCUUUAAUUACAUUAUUUAUUCAGCUUCUAAUUCAUCUCCCACAAUUUAUGGUGAUUUUCCAAAGUCACGUUACUGCUGCUGUCCCAAGCAGAUUUAUUACCAAAUCACUCUUUCAUACACCUAUCUUGCAUGCAUGUUAUUUAAACAUGUAUAUCACCAAUCAAUCAUCACAUAUCUAUGAUUUUUACUUAAGCAUAAUCUCCAUUUCAUCAUUUUAAAGCACAACAUGUUAGCCGAUUUUUCCCUUUAGCAUCUAAGGCACAUACAUGCUCAUUUGUUUGGCUCAACUUCACAUAUCUUCCAUUUUUCAUCAAAAGAACAUGAAACAACAACCAUUUCCUUCAUUUUAAUUCAUGACCAAAUGCUCACAACACAACCAAAAAUCAAAAUAUACUUCAAGAGUUAAGGUAGAAUCAAGAAGAACUCAUGAACCUCAAAAUAAAAGCAAGAUACCAAGAACUUACCUUCAAUUUUCCUCCUCCUAAUGACCGAAUACUCAAGAGCUUUCUCCUCUCCUUUCUCUUCUCUAACUUUCAGCUAUGAUGAACAAAGAUGGACAAAACUUUGUUCUUUUCACCCCUUUUUCUUUUAAUAAAACUUCAUAUUUCAUCCAUUUAAUUCUUUAAUACAAAAGAUAUGAAAUUCUUAUCAUGAAACAUUUACCUAACCGAUUAUCAUGAAACAUUUACCUAACCCAUUAUCAUGGAACAUUUACCUAACCUAUUAUCAUGGAACAUUUACCUAACCUAUUAUCAAUUUGUAUCAAUUUGUACCAUAAAUUAUGGAUAUCAAGUGUACAUUUUGUCUACAACAACAUGAUGGCUGGCCACUUCAUGUAAAAUGGGAGGUUUGUCAUGCAAUUCCUCCUAUUUUGCACUCCUAUUUAUUUGGCCACUUCAAUUUAGCCUAUAGCAUUUUCAAACAUUUUCACAUAGGUUCUAUUUCAUAAUUUCACCCCCUUUUUCUUAUGGAACAAAAAUUAACUAAAAUUGCCGGGUUCUAUCUUAAGCUUGGGCCUUCUAGAGGCCCGCUAACAUAAUUAAACCUAUGCCAACAUUCACAGAAUUCCCAAAAAUUGGGGUGUUACACAGAGAGCAAAUUGAAGUCUGGCAUCUCCACUUCAAUGGGGAGCAGAUACAUAGCAGAUCUCACCUUCAGAUGUUUAUACUGAAGCAAAUCCAUAUUUAGCAUCCUUGUGCUUACAACAAGCAAAUCGAAAACAUAGUUGAUUUGGUUUUCACGUGUUUACGAUGAAGCAAAUCUAAGAUGAUUUGGCAUCUCUGUAUUGGCAGAGAGCAAAUCGAAGUCUGGCAUCUCCACUUCAACGGAGGGUAGACACAUAGCAGAUCUUACUUCAGAUGAUUUCACUGAAGCAAGAUCCAAGAUGGUUUGGUAUCCUUGUGCUUACAAGGAACGAAUCGAAGACAUAGCUGAUUUGGUUUUCGCGUGCUUACGCUAAACAAAUCUAAGAUGAUUUGGAGAACAAAUCGAAGAAGCAGAUUUGGCGUCUCUGUGUUCGGCGGAGAGCAAAUCGAAGAUAUCAACAUGACAGUCACAAGUUUACAAGAAGUAGAUUGAGGACUAUGAUUUGAUAAAAUCGGUCAAAUUUGGUUUUUCUAAAUCUUUGCUCGAUUCUCGUUACAUGGCAAUGAGCAAAGAGCGGCAGUUGUAAUAGUCCAAAUUUGACCGGGCUUAAAUAAAACCAAAUGAAAUAAAUAAAUGAAUAAAUGUUUAUUUAUUUAACAGUCCAUAUAAAGUCCUUACAAGAGCCCAAACACAAAACCCAAAUACCUCAGACCCGUUACAGCAAACCCAAAAUAGCCCAGACCUGUUACACCCUACCCAAACCAGACCCAAAUAGCAGAGGCUCGAAAUUUAAAAUUACCAGCUAGGGUUUUUAACCCUAGCUCUUUCUCCUCACGCCGCAAAUGGAAGAUUCCAGAAUCCAUCUCAACGGAUGCGCCUGCUCAUCUCUCACAUCGUUCCAGUGACCUCUCCCAUCAGCGCUGUGAUUCUGCCUCCAAAAUCAGCGCGCGAAUCUACACCAGCCCUCGUCACCACCAGAUUUCUCGCAAGCACCUGCAAAAGAAAAGGAAACAAAGCAGAUACGAAAAAACAAAAAAGGAAACUAAAAUAAAAGGAUUUCAGCAGAUCACAAUCAAAGAUACGGUGGAUACAAUAGACAAGAAAUGGAAAGAAAUUGAAGAUUUCUUUCCUAGUUUAUGUAAUAAAGCAGUGGCUAUAAAAGCCCAAAUAAAAUGAUGUAAAGGGACUUACGCUCUGAAAAAUACACACAGAGAGAAUCAAUAAAAAUUUAGAGAUUCAGCAAAAGAAUUUAUUCUCGCAUAUAUAUACACAGCAAGCAUCUCAAUCGAUUGAAUACACAAAGGUGAAAUUUUUUAAAUAUAUGUACGUAUAUAUACUGCAAAUAAUGAAAGGAGAAAGCAAUACCUUUAAUCGGCAUUGAAAGGUGAGGUUUUUAAACCUCCAACCACCGUAUGCGGUGGAGAAGACGAGGGCGCGUGAGUGCGUACAAACCCCUAGAUAGAGGUCCGGUGACCCUCCGAAUACCCCUCCCCAACUCUCUUUCAGAGAGUUUUUUUCUUUUUUUUUUCCAG
rnacentral:lncRNA from 1 species